CCUACGGGCGACUGCAGUGGGGAAUAUUGCACAAUGGGGGAAACCCUGAUGCAGCGACGCCGCGUGAGUGAAGAAGUAUUUCGGUAUGUAAAGCUCUAUCAGCAGGGAAGAAAAUGACGGUACCUGACUAAGAAGCCCCGGCUAACUACGUGCCAGCAGCCGCGGUAAUGCGUAGGGGGCAAGCGUUAUCCGGAUUUACUGGGUGUAAAGGGAGCGUAGACGGUGAUGCAAGUCAGAAGUGAAAGCCCGGGGCCCAACUCCGGGACUGCUUUUGAAACUGUGUGACUGGAGUGCAGGAGAGGUAAGCGGAAUGCCUGGUGUAGCGGUGAAAUGCGUAGAUAUCAGGAGGAACACCAGUGGCGAAGGCGGCUUACUGGACUGUAACUGACGUUGAGGCUCGAAAGCGUGGGGAGCAAACAGGAUUAGAUACCCGAGUAGUC
rnacentral:rRNA from 1 species